UUGACCUCGGAUCAGGUAGGGA
rnacentral:rRNA from 41 species